UCUGGUGAUGAUGGCGAAGAGGUCACACCCGUUCCCAUGCCGAACACGGAAGUUAAGCUCUUCAGCGCCGAUGGUAGUUGGGGGCUGUCCCCCUGUGAGAGUAGGACGUUGCCAGGC
rnacentral:rRNA from 1 species